GACGAACGCUGGCGGCGUGCUUAACACAUGCAAGUCGAGCGGAAAGGCCACUUCGGUGGUACUCGAGCGGCGAACGGGUGAGUAACACGUGAGUAAUCUGCCCUUGGCUUCGGGAUAGCCACCGGAAACGGUGAUUAAUACCGGAUACGACCACUCCAGGCAUCUGGUGGUGGUGGAAAGUUUUUGGGCGAGGGAUGUGCUCGCGGCCGUUCAGCUUGAUGGUGUGGUAGUGGUUCACCAUGGCUUCGACGGGUAGCCGGCCUGUGAGGGUGACCGGUCACACUGGGACAGACACACGGCCGAGGCAGCAAUGGGGAACAGAGGUGGGGGGGAGUGAGCAAGGGGCGGAGGCGUGGUGCGGCAACGCGGGGUGAGGGAGGAGGGCCUUCGGGUCGUAAACCGUUAUCGGGAGGGAGGAGGCGGUAGUGAGGGUACCGACUAAAGAAGCGCCGGCCAACUACGUG
rnacentral:rRNA from 1 species